UACAGAGUGAGUUCCAGGACAGCCAGGACUAUACAGAGAAACCCUGUCUCAAAAAAUAAAAAAUUAAAAUAAAAAAAAUAGGUGUGUGUUACCACUGCCUGGAGACUUCAAUAGGUUUUAAAGAAUUUUCCUCAUUAUUUUAGUAUUAAUUUUCUCACAAGAAAAUUCCCACUAGUAUAUCUACUGGGAUCAAAGCAAAGAUAUAUUAGGGAGAAAAGGUGUGUCUUUAUGUCGAGGCCUAGUCAAUCACAUAGCAGUCCUUUAACUUUAUUGAAGCAUUCUCCCAACAGCAUUUACAAACUCUUUUCAUAUAGAUGUGGUGUAUGGUAUGCUAAAUUUAUCCCAAGACAUUUUGAUUUUGUAUUUUCAUUGAUCUUUUCUCUCUCCACACCUCUCCUGUUUUCAAAGAUCAAUUCCAGAGCCUCACAUAUAUAUUAUUGGAUCUUUUAAAGAAACAGAGAUUGAUGGAUGAAGCAUGUAUGUUUAACUACAACUCCUCAUUUUAAGUAGCCUCAACAAAAUAUUUUAAUGCAUUUGUCUAUCUACUAUCUGACCCAAUACAUGUUUGACCAGUAAGAACUCAAUUACCUACUCAGCCAUCUUACUGGCCUACAGCCAACAAUUCUUUAUCAAACUCUGGAAUAUAGCCAAAGUUUCAUAACCAUAUAAUGCUUAAUAUGAAAAUGUGGCUGAAGCCUUGACAGUGUUCCUCCCUCAUGUAUGCCAGCAGGCCAGAAGAGGGCACCAGAGACACCUUACCAGAGAGAGACACUGUUAAGGAGGUUUCCAGGAUGCCUUCAAAUACUAGCUACAGCACUAUUUGUAAUAGCCAGAACAUGGAAACAACCUAGGUGCCCCUCAAUAGAAGAAUGGUU